GGGAAGAACACGUACGAGAGUAACUGCUCGUACCUUGACGGUACCUUAUUAGAAAGCCACGGCUAACUACGUGCCAGCAGCCGCGGUAAUACGUAGGUGGCAAGCGUUGUCCGGAAUUAUUGGGCGUAAAGCGCGCGCAGGCGGUCCUUUAAGUCUGAUGUGAAAGCCCACGGCUCAACCGUGGAGGGUCAUUGGAAACUGGGGGACUUGAGUACAGAACAGGAAAGCGGAAUUCCAAGUGUAGCGGUGAAAUGCGUAUAGAUUUGGAGGAACACCCUUGGCGAAUGCGGCUUUCUGGUCUGUAUCUGAUUCUGACGCCCGAAAGCGUGGGGAGCAAACAGGAUUAAAUACCCUGGUAUUCCACGCCGUAUACGAUGACUGAUAAAUGUUACGGGGUUUCCGCCCCUUAGUGCUGCAACUAACGCAUUAAGCACUCCGCCUGGGGAGUACGGCCGCAAGGCUGAAACUCAAAGGAAUUGACGGGGGCCCGCACAAGCGGUGGAGCAUGUGGUUUAAUUCGAAGCAACGCGAAUAACCUUACCAGGUCUUGACAUCCCACUGACCGGCAUACAGAUAUGCUUUUCCCUUCCGGGACAGUGGUGACAGGUGGUGCAUGGUUGUC
rnacentral:rRNA from 1 species